rnacentral:rRNA from 1 species
AUUGAACGCUGGCGGCAUGCCUUACACAUGCAAGUCGAACGGUAACAGGUCUUCGGAUGCUGACGAGUGGCGAACGGGUGAGUAAUACAUCGGAACGUGCCUAGUAGUGGGGGAUAACUACUCGAAAGAGUAGCUAAUACCGCAUGAGAUCUACGGAUGAAAGCAGGGGAUCGCAAGACCUUGUGCUACUAGAGCGGCCGAUGGCAGAUUAGGUAGUUGGUGGGAUAAAAGCUUACCAAGCCGACGAUCUGUAGCGGGUCUGAGAGGACGAUCAUCCACACUGAGACUGAGACACGGCCCAGACUCCUACGGGAGGCAGCAGUGGGGAAUUUUGGACAAUGGUCGAAAGCCUGAUCCAGCAAUGCCGCGUGCAGGAUGAAGGCCUUCGGGUUGUAAACUGCUUUUGUACGGAACGAAAAGCUUUGGGUUAAUACCCUGGAGUCAUGACGGUACCGUAAGAAUAAGCACCGGCUAACUACGUGCCAGCCGCCGCGGUAA